rnacentral:misc_RNA from 1 species
ACACCUCAACUCUCAUGUUCCACCAUGAUGAGCUUGGACUUUGGAGGUCUUGCUGGCCAGUGGCCAGCUCCUCUCAAAUGAAUCAGCUUGCCAGUGUUUGGCGGCACCACAGGUGUGAUAACUAUCUACGCUUGUGGUUUCCUGCCAGGUGUCCCUUCAGCAAUGGAGGUCCACUGGAGCUUAUAAACGUCUCUCCUCGGUGAGGACAUUUUUUCAA